rnacentral:rRNA from 1 species
UACAGAGACUGCAAGCGUUAUUCGGAUUCACUGGGCGUAAAGGGUGCGCAGGCGGCUACGCACGUCCGUUGUGAAAUCGCUCGGCUCAACUGGGCGGGGUCAGCGGAUACGGCGUGGCUGGAGCAAGCUAGGGGGCAAUGGAAUUCCCGGUGUAGUGGUGGAAUGCGUAGAUAUCGGGAGGAACACCAGUGGCGAAGGCGGUUGCCUGGAGCUUUGCUGACGCUGAGGCGCGAAAGCGUGGGGAGCGAUCCGG